CGGUAACAUUUCUAGCUUGCUAGAAGAUGACGAGUGGCGGACGGGUGAGUAAUGCUUGGGAACUUGCCUUUGCGAGGGGGAUAACAGUUGGAAACGACUGCUAAUACCGCAUAAUGUCUUCGGACCAAACGGGGCUUCGGCUCCGGCGCAAAGAGAGGCCCAAGUGAGAUUAGCUAGUUGGUAAGGUAACGGCUUACCAAGGCGACGAUCUCUAGCUGUUCUGAGAGGAAGAUCAGCCACACUGGGACUGAGACACGGCCCAGACUCCUACGGGAGGCAGCAGUGGGGAAUAUUGCACAAUGGGGGAAACCCUGAUGCAGCCAUGCCGCGUGUGUGAAGAAGGCCUUCGGGUUGUAAAGCACUUUCAGUUGUGAGGAAAAGUUAGUAGUUAAUACCUGCUAGCCGUGACGUUAACAACAGAAGAAGCACCGGCUAACUCCGUGCCAGCAGCCGCGGUAAUACGGAGGGUGCGAGCGUUAAUCGGAAUUACUGGGCGUAAAGCGCACGCAGGCGGUUUGUUAAGCUAGAUGUGAAAGCCCCGGGCUCAACCUGGGAUGGUCAUUUAGAACUGGCAGACUAGAGUCUUGGAGAGGGGAGUGGAAUUCCAGGUGUAGCGGUGAAAUGCGUAGAUAUCUGGAGGAACAUCAGUGGCGAAGGCGACUCCCUGGCCAAAGACUGACGCUCAUGUGCGAAGGUGUGGGUAGCGAACAGGAUUAGAUACCCUGGUAGUCCACACCGUAAACGCUGUCUACUAGCUGUGUGUGCCUUUAAGGCGUGCGUAGCGAAGCUAACGCGCUAAGUAGACCGCCUGGGGAGUACGGCCGCAAGGUUAAAACUCAAAUGAAUUGACGGGGGCCCGCACAAGCGGUGGAGCAUGUGGUUUAAUUCGAUGCAACGCGAAGAACCUUACCUACACUUGACAUGCUGAGAAGUUACUAGAGAUAGUUUCGUGCCUUCGGGAACUCAGACACAGGUGCUGCAUGGCUGUCGUCAGCUCGUGUCGUGAGA
rnacentral:rRNA from 1 species